CGCUGCUACGGCUUAACCAUGCGAGUCGAGGGGCAGCAUGGGCUUAGCUUGCUAAGCCCGAUGGCGACCGGCGCACGGGUGAGUAACACGUAUCCAACCUGCCGAUCACUCCGGUACAGCCUUUCGAAAGAAAGAUUAAUCCCGGAUUGUAUGGCGAUUCCGCAUGGUUUCUCCAUUAAAGGUUUUUUCCGGUGAUCGAUGGGGAUGCGUUCCAUUAGGCAGUUGGCGGGGUAACGGCCCACCAAACCUACGAUGGAUAGGGGUUCUGAGAGGAAGGUCCCCCACAUUGGAACUGAGACACGGUCCAAACUCCUACGGGAGGCAGCAGUGAGGAAUAUUGGUCAAUGGGCGGAAGCCUGAACCAGCCAAGUAGCGUGAAGGAUGACUGCCCUAUGGGUUGUAAACUUCUUUUAUAAGGGAAUAAUUGCGGGUACGCGUACCUGUUUGCAUGUACCUUAUGAAUAAGGAUCGGCUAACUCCGUGCCAGCAGCCGCGGUAAU
rnacentral:rRNA from 1 species